AUUAGCUUGUUGGCUGGGUAACGGCCCACCAAGGCAACGAUCAGUAGGGGUUCUGAGAGGAAGGUCCCCCACAUUGGAACUGAGACACGGUCCAAACUCCUACGGGAGGCAGCAGUGAGGAAUAUUGGUCAAUGGACGAGAGUCUGAACCAGCCAAGUAGCGUGCAGGAUGACGGCCCUAUGGGUUGUAAACUGCUUUUAUAAGGGAAUAAAGUGAGUCUCGUGAGACUUUUUGCAUGUACCUUAUGAAUAAGGACCGGCUAAUUCCGUGCCAGCAGCCGCGGUAAUACGGAAGGUCCGGGCGUUAUCCGGAUUUACUGRGUUUAAAGGGAGCGUAGGCCGGAGAUUAAGCGUGUUGUGAAAUGUAGACGCUCAACGUCUGCACUGCAGCGCGAACUGGUUUCCUUGAGUACGCACAAAGUGGGCGGAAUUCGUGGUGUAGCGGUGAAAUGCUUAGAUAUCACGAAGAACUCCGAUUGCGAAGGCAGCUCACUGGAGCGCAACUGACGCUGAAGCUCGAAAGUGCGGGUAUCGAACAGGAUUAGAUACCCUGGUAGUCCGCACGGUAAACGAUGGAUGCCCGCUGUUGGUCUGAAUAGGUCAGCGGCCAAGCGAAAGCAUUAAGCAUCCCACCUGGGGAGUACGCCGGCAACGGUGAAACUCUAAUGAAU
rnacentral:rRNA from 1 species